GAUGAACGCUGGCGGCGUGCCUAAUACAUGCAAGUCGAGCGAACAGAUGAGGAGCUUGCUCCUCUGACGUUAGCGGCGGACGGGUGAGUAACACGUGGAUAACCUACCUAUAAGACUGGGAUAACUUCGGGAAACCGGAGCUAAUACCGGAUAAUAUAUUGAACCGCAUGGUUCAAUAGUGAAAGACGGUUUUGCUGUCACUUAUAGAUGGAUCCGCGCCGCAUUAGCUAGUUGGUAAGGUAACGGCUUACCAAGGCAACGAUGCGUAGCCGACCUGAGAGGGUGAUCGGCCACACUGGAACUGAGACACGGUCCAGACUCCUACGGGAGGCAGCUGUAGGGAAUCUUCCGCAAUGGGCGAAAGCCUGACGGAGCAACGCCGCGUGAGUGAUGAAUGUCUUCGGAUCGUAAAACUCUGUUAUUAGGGAAGAACAAAUGUGUAAGUAACUAUGCACGUCUUGACGGUACCUAAUCAGAAAGCCACGGCUAACUACGUG
rnacentral:rRNA from 1 species